rnacentral:snoRNA from 1 species
GUGAUGUUACGCAUGAAUCGGGGACAUGACCAGACUUGAUGAGUACCUCGCUUGCUGACG